rnacentral:rRNA from 1 species
UACGAAGGGUGCAAACGUUGCUCGGAAUUAUUGGGCGUAAAGCGCGUGUAGGCGGCCUAUCAAGUCAGAUGUGAAAUCCCCGGGCUCAACCUGGGAACUGCAUUUGUGACUGCAUCGCUAGAGUACGGCAGAGGGGGAUGGAAUUCCGCGUGUAGCAGUGAAAUGCGUAGAUAUGCGGAGGAACACCGAUGGCGAAGGCAAUCCCCUGGGCCUGUACUGACGCUCAUGCACGAAAGCGUGGGGAGCAAACAGG